AAAGUUUUUAUAUAAAAGUGGAACAUUUUGCAGUGUUUAUUUUAUUUAGCAAAUGGCACUGCCAGGAUGCCGAGCUGUGCGAUUUGGCGUCUACCACUUCGCUGAGAGACAUCCAUCGAGGACUUCCAGGCGCUGUUGCAAAUCUACAUGAGUGGUCAGAGUUCAGAGUGAUCGGCCAUACAUUGCUAAGUCCCGAUAUAUGUUUGUAAUUGACCCGGAAUAUAUUAAAAAUAAAUAAAAUAAGCAAAUUUAAA